rnacentral:rRNA from 1 species
AGUGAACGCUGGCGGUAGGCCUAACACAUGCAAGUCGAACGGCAGCACAGUAAGAGCUUGCUCUUACGGGUGGCGAGUGGCGGACGGGUGAGGAAUACAUCGAAAUCUACUUUUUCGUGGGGGAUAACGUAGGGAAACUUACGCUAAUACCGCAUACGACCUACGGGUGAAAGCAGGGGAUCUUCGGACCUUUCGCGAUUGAAUGAGCCGAUGUCGGAUUAGCUAGUUGGCGGGGUAAAGGCCCACCAAGGCGACGAUCCGUAGCUGGUCUGAGAGGAUGAUCAGCCACACUGGAACUGAGACACGGUCCAGACUCCUACGGGAGGCAGCAGUGGGGAAUAUUGGACAAUGGGCGCAAGCCUGACCCAGCCAUACCGCGUGGGUGAAGAAGGCCUUCGGGUUGUAAAGCCCUUUUGUUGGGAAAGAAAAGCAGCAGGUUAAUACCCCGAUGUUCUGACGGUACCCAAAGAAUAAGCACCGGCUAACUUCGUG